rnacentral:rRNA from 1 species
AUUGAACGCUGGCGGCAGGCCUAACACAUGCAAGUCGAACGAGUGGCGGACGGGUGAGUAAUGUCUGGGAACCUGCCCGAUGGCGGGGGAUAACUACUGGAAACGGUAGCUAAUACCGCAUACCAUCGGAUGUGCCCAGAUGGGAUUAGCUAGUAGGUGGGGUAAAGGCUAACCAAGGCGACGAUCCCUAGCUGGUCUGAGAGGAUGACCAGCCACACUGGGACUGAGACACGGCCCAGACUCCUACGGGAGGCAGCAGUGGGGAAUAUUGGACAAUGGGGGAAAGCCUGAUGCAGCCAUGCCGCGUGUAUGAUGAAGGCCUUCGGGUUGUAAAGUACUUUCGGCGGGGAGGCGUUACCCGCAGAAGAAGCACCGGCUAACUACGUGCCAGCAGCCGCGGUAAUAC